rnacentral:rRNA from 1 species
UGUUGACCUCAGAUCAGGUAGGAAUACCCGCUGAACUUA